rnacentral:pre_miRNA from 9 species
GCCAAUAUCCUUGUCUUUUUUCUUAUCUUAGGAGGUGAUAUUUCUUGUGCUGUCUGAAUUCUGUCAGCUAUCUGAAAAUGUCUUUAGCCUUGAAGACUU